rnacentral:rRNA from 1 species
GAUGAACGCUGGCGGCGUGCCUAAUACAUGCAAGUCGAGCGAACGGACGAGAAGCUUGCUCCUCUGAUGUUAGCGGCGGACGGGUGAGUAACACGUGGAUAACCUACCUAUAAGACUGGGAUAACUUCGGGAAACCGGAGCUACUACCGGCUAAUAUUUUGAACCGCAUGGUUCAAAAGUGAAAGACGGUCUUGCUGUCACUUAUAGAUGGAUCCGCGCUGCAUUAGCUAGUUGGUAAGGUAACGGCUUACCAAGGCAACGAUGCAUAGCCGACCUGAGAGGGUGAUCGGCCACACUGGAACUGAGACACGGUCCAGACUCCUACGGGAGGCAGCAGUAGGGAAUCUUCCGCAAAGGGCGAAAGCCUGACGGAGCAACGCCGCGUGAGUGAUGAAGGUCUUCGGAUCGUAAAACUCUGUUAUUAGGGAAGAACAUAUGUGUAAGUAACUGUGCACAUCUUGACGGUACCUAAUCAGAAAGCCACGGCUAACUACGUG